rnacentral:rRNA from 1 species
CCUACGGGAGGCAGCAGUAGGGAAUCUUCCACAAUGGACGCAAGUCUGAUGGAGCAAUGCCGCGUGAGUGAAGAAGGGUUUCGGCUCGUAAAACUCUGUUGUUGGAGAAGAACAGGUGUCAGAGUAACUGUUGACAUCGUGACGAUAUUCAACCAGAAAGCCACGGCUAACUACGUGCCAGCAGCCGCGGUAAUA